rnacentral:rRNA from 1 species
GACGAACGCUGGCGGCGUGCUUAACACAUGCAAGUCGAACGGAGCUUCUUGGAUAGAGACUUCGGUCAAUUGAAUUGAAGCUUAGUGGCGGACUGGUGAGUAACGCGUGAGGAACCUGCCUUUCAGAGGGGGACAACAGUUGGAAACGACUGCUAAUACCGCAUGACGCAUGACCGGGGCAUCCCGGACAUGCCAAAGAUUUUAUCGCUGAAAGAUGGCCUCGCGUCUGAUUAGCUAGUUGGUGGGGUAACGGCCCACCAAGGCGACGAUCAGUAGCCGGACUGAGAGGUUGACCGGCCACAUUGGGACUGAGAUACGGCCCAGACUCCUACGGGAGCAGCAGUGGGGAAUAUUGGGGCAAUGGACGCAAGUCUGACCCAGCAACGCCGCGUGAAGGAAGAAGGCUUUCGGGUUGUAAACUUCUUUAAGGGGGAAGAGUAGAAGACGGUACCCUUGAAUAAGCCACGGCUAACUACGUG